rnacentral:pre_miRNA from 10 species
GCUGGCAUGUGGCAGUUCUUCACUGGCAAGCUUUACGUUCCUGUUGUACUGCUAAAGCUGCCAGCUGAAGAACUGUCACGGUCUGC